GACGAACGCUGGCGGCGUGCUUAACACAUGCAAGUCGAACGGAAAGGCCCUGCUUUUGUGGGGUGCUCGAGUGGCGAACGGGUGAGUAACACGUGAGUAACCUGCCCUUGACUUUGGGAUAACUUCAGGAAACUGGGGCUAAUACCGGAUAGGAGCUCCUGCUGCAUGGUGGGGGUUGGAAAAUUUCGGCGGUUGGGGAUGGACUCGCGGUUUAUCAGCUUGUUGGUGGGGUAGUGGCUUACCAAGGCUUUGACGGGUAGCCGGCCUGAGAGGGUGACCGGCCACAUUGGGACUGAGAUACGGCCCAGACUCCUACGGGAGGCAGCAGUGGGGAAUAUUGCACAAUGGGCGGAAGCCUGAUGCAGCAACGCCGCGUGCGGGAUGACGGCCUUCGGGUUGUAAACCGCUUUCGCCUGUGACGAAGCGUGAGUGACGGUAAUGGGUAAAGAAGCACCGGCUAACUACGUG
rnacentral:rRNA from 1 species